AAUCUAGAAGCUGCGGCUCUACCGAUAAGGAACUUGGCUUGUACAUUUUCCAGGCUUUGAUCAAAUCGCAUGCAGGGAACCGGGAUUUAACGUCAAACAUUGUGGCAGGAUUUCCGUUUUUGGCCGUUUCAGUCAAUGGUCAAAUAUCCAGAAAAGUCACCCAGUGUACAAUCACAUUUACCAAAUUCCUCAAGUUGUUUUCUGAACAAUUUGUCCCAUCAUCAUUCAGAGACCCAGCUUCUGUAGAAGCUGCAUUUUUGCAUCAAUUGCAUAGACUUCCACUAGGGGUGUCCAAUAUAGACUUCUUGCCAAUAUUCGCUAUGUUGCUAUGUCAAAACAAUUAAUUCCCAAAUCCGAUACCGAUAUAUGUAGCCGUUUGCCUCAAAAUCUGAGGUCAACGCCUCACGACCCCUACAAGCAAUUCCAGUAAAUUUGGCAAAACCCAGGCAUUGCAUUAUCAGGUUUUCAUCAUCGGAGGAAAAACCCAUAAUGAUUCUUACCUAUGCUAAUAUCUGUUGGCCAACAUUAUCGAACAUCCCUAAUUUCCGCCUCACAUUGAGAAAAAUUGUCCAAAGGCUGCUUCACAGAAGUCAACUGAAGCUGAGCUUCAACAGGAUUAAAUACAGAUUUGGUGUAUUAGACAAUUCACAUCAGAUGAUGUGGUUUGCUGUUUUCAAACAUACUCUUUGGUAAACAAAAUCUAAAUUUAACAGAUGUUCCAUGAUUUAUUCAAUAAUAUUUGAUAGGAACCUGAGCUUUUCCUUCUUGUCUUAGAUCAAUUUGCAGCUCAGGUGAAUGUUUCUUCACUGAAUCUGUUCCUUUUCUUGAUUUUUUUUUUCUUGACAUUCUAACUACAGCUUCUUCAGGUGUCCUUCUACCCAGAAUCUAAAAUAAA